CUCAGGACGAACGCUGGCGGCGUGCCUAAUACAUGCAAGUCGAACGCUUCUUUCCUCCCGAGUGCUUGCACUCAAUUGGAAAGAGGAGUGGCGGACGGGUGAGUAACACGUGGGUAACCUACCCAUCAGAGGGGGAUAACACUUGGAAACAGGUGCUAAUACCGCAUAACAGUUUAUGCCGCAUGGCAUAAGAGUGAAAGGCGCUUUCGGGUGUCGCUGAUGGAUGGACCCGCGGUGCAUUAGCUAGUUGGUGAGGUAACGGCUCACCAAGGCCACGAUGCAUAGCCGACCUGAGAGGGUGAUCGGCCACACUGGGACUGAGACACGGCCCAGACUCCUACGGGAGGCAGCAGUAGGGAAUCUUCGGCAAUGGACGAAAGUCUGACCGAGCAACGCCGCGUGAGUGAAGAAGGUUUUCGGAUCGUAAAACUCUGUUGUUAGAGAAGAACAAGGACGUUAGUAACUGAACGUCCCCUGACGGUAUCUAACCAGAAAGCCACGGCUAACUACGUGCCAGCAGCCGCGGUAAUACGUAGGUGGCAAGCGUUGUCCGGAUUUAUUGGGCGUAAAGCGAGCGCAGGCGGUUUCUUAAGUCUGAUGUGAAAGCCCCCGGCUCAACCGGGGAGGGUCAUUGGAAACUGGGAGACUUGAGUGCAGAAGAGGAGAGUGGAAUUCCAUGUGUAGCGGUGAAAUGCGUAGAUAUAUGGAGGAACACCAGUGGCGAAGGCGGCUCUCUGGUCUGUAACUGACGCUGAGGCUCGAAAGCGUGGGGAGCAAACAGGAUUAGAUACCCUGGUAGUCCACGCCGUAAACGAUGAGUGCUAAGUGUUGGAGGGUUUCCGCCCUUACAGUGCUGCAGCAAACGCAUUAAGCACUCCGCCUGGGGAGUACGACCGCAAGGUUGAAACUCAAAGGAAUUGACGGGGGCCCGCACAAGCGGUGGAGC
rnacentral:rRNA from 1 species